rnacentral:rRNA from 1 species
GACGAACGCUGGCGGCGCGCCUAACACAUGCAAGUCGAACGGAGCUUAAAGAGCUUGCUUUUUAAGCUUAGUGGCGAACGGGUGAGUAACGCGUGAGUAACCUGCCCUGGAGUGGGGGACAACAGUUGGAAACGACUGCUAAUACCGCAUAAGCCCACGGAUUCGCAUGGAUCUGCGGGAAAAGGAUUUAUUCGCUUCAGGAUGGACUCGCGUCCAAUUAGCUAGUUGGUGAGGUAACGGCCCACCAAGGCGACGAUUGGUAGCCGGACUGAGAGGUUGAACGGCCACAUUGGGACCGAGACACGGCCCAGACUCCUACGGGAGGCAGCAGUGGGGGAUAUUGCACAAUGGGGGAAACCCUGAUGCAGCGACGCCGCGUGGAGGAAGAAGGUUUUCGGAUUGUAAACUCCUGUCGUUAGGGACGAUAAUGACGGUACCUAACAAGAAAGCACCGGCUAACUACGUGCCAGCCGCCGCAGUAA